GAGGCGAUCGAUAGCAACCUCGAAAAGAAGAAUGUGAAUUUUCGGAUGAAAAGUUUUCUAAAUUAUCGCGUAAAUUAUCGAGUAUUACCCAGGGACGCGCGUGAACAUUGUUAAAUAUCCGACAGAAUUUGUAAAAAUUGUAAAAGCCAGAUCUUCGAAGUUUACCGUUUCUUGGAUGAAACAGGAGGAUGCGGUUUUCAUCUCGCCUUUCAAGGAGUAAGCCGGGCGGUUCAUAAUAGUCGAUGAUGCUUAAACACGAAUAGCGGCGGGACGACGUCGGGCCAGCCUGGAAGGACAAAAUGAGGAAUUCGAAAGCGGAACCGGAUAAUGUGGAAACGGUUAUUGCGAUUCAAGGAUAUGAAAAAUAUACCAAUUAUGGAUUCUGUAUUUUAACAAUUCUAUUUUCAUGCGGUAGUGCGCGACUCGUGUUAACUAUCUUUAAUCGUAGAAAAAUAGAUUGAUCGAUGUUAUCACGACGACUUUAUUUUCUACAUUCUUAACUCUGCUCGUGAUACCAUAGAUAAGAUUUCAACAUAAACUUAAGACCUAAUGGGAAAUUGACAUUGACAGCAAGAUAAAAUAAUCAUUACGAUGAUGCAAUAGAAUACAAUAACAGAGCGAUAAGCGAAUGAAAUAAAUGUUAAAAAUUAUAAAUAAAUGUUUCUAUGUAAUGAAAUUAUUAAUAUCGAAUAAUAAAUCAUUC
rnacentral:misc_RNA from 1 species